CCCUUAGACACUCUAGGCGGCACGCGCGCUACAAUGGGUGGACGAACGUGUUACUGCCUCCGAAAGGAGGGGUGAAUCACGAAUUCUUGCCCGUGAAUGGGAUAGUUUGUUGCAAUUUUCGGACUUGAACUAGGAAUCCCUUGUAAACAUGCUCAAGAAUAGCGUGUUGAAUACGUCCCUGCCGUUUGUACACACCGCCCGUCGUUUCUUCCGACUGAUACUCAUUGUGAGUUGCAAGGACCCUUUAUUGGGAAAUUGCUGCAAAUGCUUUGUAUUGGAGGAAGAAAAAGUCGUAACA
rnacentral:rRNA from 1 species